UGGGGAAUCUUGCGCAAUGGCCGAGAGGCUGACGCAGCGACGCCGCGUGGGGGAUGAAGCAUUUCGGUGUGUAAACCCCUGUUGCUCGGGACGAACGACCCUUUUCGAGGGGUGUGACGGUACCGAGUGAGGAAGCACCGGCUAACUCCGUGCCAGCAGCCGCGGUAAUACGGAGGGUGCGAGCGUUGUCCGGAAUCACUGGGCGUAAAGGGCGCGUAGGUGGUUGGAUGCGCCGGUGGUGAAAGCGCAGGGCUCAACCCUGCGUCGGCCAUCGGGACGGUCCGACUGGAGCACUGUAGAGGCAGGUGGAAUUCCGGGUGUAGCGGUGGAAUGCGUAGAGAUCCGGAAGAACACCGGUGGCGAAGGCGGCCUGCUGGGCAGUUGCUGACACUGAGGCGCGACAGCGUGGGGAGCAAACAGG
rnacentral:rRNA from 1 species